GCCCUACAUAACCCUUUUUCAGGCCGCAAUCUACAUGGUUUUCCCAAAAAAUCCAAAUAUAUUUCAGUCAAUCCAGCUUCGAUGAUUCAUUUGAAGGCAAGACGCAUAUUCCCGAAAAUCAAUCUUAUUUGAACCUUAAAUCGGAAUGCUUAAGUUGAAAUCCUAUUGGCGCGUAUGUGGUCGAUAAAUCGUACUAUGCCUGGAAAAGGGUUAAUAAAAAAAACCUUAUGAAACGUGUUCGUUUUCGAAUCGUUUCGGGAAGAAAUGCACUAAAGUACAAAGACACCGCACUGUUUUUUUUUAUUUAAACUUUUUAUGUAAGAAGUUUUUAUUCAAGCUAUAAGCUUUAACAAUCAAUACGAAGUAAGAUUCAAUUUCACAAAUUACUUAACGUUCAAUUUAUGAAUUCAAUUUGAUUUAUGGAAGUUAUGGACGUAUUUAUCGAGGCGAUAACGACAUGACAGACAUGUCACAACCGGGCUAGCACAUGAUUGGCGCGACAGUAUCUCGCGGCGAGAUACACUACCCAUCCCUCUUUAAUUCACAUAGAAAAACACUGUAUGUGCUACCUACAGGUCACCUUUCGAUACUGCUCAAUAAAAAGAGACGGAUGUCGUGUAUCCUGUCUAUCGCGUCGAUUACUGGUGUCCAUCAUAUACCCGCUCAAAUGAUUUGGAGGUAAAAUAUGUAUCAAUAAUAUAACUAUAUGAAAAUAGGCUUCAACUGCUACUUGAAACACUUGAGAUGUCGAAAUCAUUGGUUAGUUUGCUUAACUUUUACGUACUUAAUGCAUUGUCGUAGGUUGAGCUUCUCUUUAAUGUUUUCUAAAGAUGGCUUUUAUAAUAGAACUGGGGUAUGAAUAUGGGAAUACCGGAAUCCUGAAGUACCGGAAUAUCGGAUCGAUUUUUACUAUUACGAUCAAUACCGGAAUUGAAGAUGAUCAAUUUCCAAAUAUCGGAAUUCUUAUAUUAAUCCUUUUUAGUUUAAUUUAAUUAACAAUGAUGUAUUUUACGACGAAAACCGCAAUGUCAUGUCGUUGUACAUGUCAAACUGUCUUAUAAACAAAAGAAGCACACAAUAUAAAGUACCCACGUAAAUAUAAGCAUAAGUACCUCAAACCGAUAACACCCUAAAGAUUCUGGUAACUCUGUAUAGACCUUGCGGUGACUGAUCGCUGCAGAGUUCGCUAAGAAUAGUGUUGGUUAAGACUCGAGUCUUUUGAGAGUCUGAGUCCUCUGCUCAAGGUUUCGACUCAGUUUUUCAGACUAAUAAUAUAUAAGUUGAAAUUUGAGUUUAUUUUCAAUUUGAUAGAGACACAGAGUCCCGAGACCCGUUUGGUCGAGAGACUCGAGACUUUUUCAGAAAAACUUUAAAUUUCCAACAAAAAGUUCCAAAAAACUAUUUCUUCAACAUAAAAUUCAGGACUCAUGAAUAUUAUGUUGAAGAAAACGCGUUUUGGAUUUUGAGUGAAUGAAUGAACAUGAGUCUAGUACACAAACCAUACAAUAACGCAUAUUUUAUUUACUGUUAAUUUAGUUAAAAUAUAACUAAGGCUCGAGUCCUGUUGAGUUGAGCUUAGAAAAGACUCAGCAUACUCGACUUGGAAAUUAAAAGACUCGGUUUUUCUAAGCACAGAGUGUCGUAAAAACGAGUCGUAAUCCUCAAAUUUAGACUCAAAACACCUGAGUUUCUACCAAUACUAGUUUAGACAUACUUCAACCUUGUAGCUUAAGCGUAUUUUAAGUUUCCGGUGGGGCGGCACAACUUAGUAGUUAUAAUGUACUCUUAGCGUAAGACACGUUUCUGUGACGCAUCCUAGUCAGGACCUAGGUCUAGGUAGUUAUGUAACAUUCGUGUCAAAGUUUGGCCAACUUAUUGCAAAAGAAUUAAUCUGGAAACAUUAUAAAAUGUAUUUAAAAAAUAUGCAUGAUUUAUCGACUUGAGUAAGAAACUUGCACAAUUUUAAACUGUAAAAGAGUAUGUAUAGGUAUACUUUUCUUGUUCUGAAGAACUCAAUUGAUUGGAAGAAAUAAGAAUAUUUCCAAUGUCACGCUGGUGUAAUGUUUUAAAUGUGAGAAAAUUGGACAAAUAUUUUCAAAUAGCGGCAUUAUUACCUAAGGGUCCUAAUUUGAACAUUUGAAAAUAUAAGUACCUACAAUACAGUAAGUAUUUACAAUAGUUUAAAAUAUACCUGAUGUUUUAAAAUUACCUUAACUUAAAUAUAUUUGAAAUAAAACCGGGCAAGUGCGAGUCGGACUCGCGCACGAAGGGUUCCGUACCAUAAAGCAAAAAAAAAACGGAAAAAAAUGCAAAAAGAAAACGGUCACCCAUCCAAGUACUGACUACGCCCGACGUUGCUUAACUUUGGUCAAAAAUCACGUUUGCUGUAUGGGAGCCCCACUUAAAUCUUUAUUUUAUACUGUUUUUAGUAUUUGUUAUAGCGGCAACAGAAAUACAUCAUCUGUGAAAAUUUCAACUGUCUAGCUAUCACGGUUCGUGAGAUACAGCCUGGUGACAGACAGACGGACAGACGGACGGACGGACGGACGUUUUACCCUUUGGGUACGGAACCCCAAAAAAAAGGUUGUCUUUAUCUACUAUUUUACAGUUUAUCAAAUUAAUAUAAAUCUGCGACAAGUUGACCAAAUAUACGUAACUUUUAUAGCUAGAGAAUUAAGAUUUUAUAGCUAGCUAUAAUUUUCGUUAUAUGAGUUGUCAGUCAAGCUUUGUUCUUAGUUCUUGUUUUUUACACUUGGAAAUCUAUAUUUGUAUAGAAAUCGUCACUUCUUUGAGGCUAACAUAUACUUAGUAUUGUUAUAAAAUGUUCUCUUGGAGUGGUGUAAAACAUGCAAGUAACCAUGUAUAUUUAUUACUUAUUUAUGUAUAUUCGGAACAAACUAGGUAUUUCUGAUGAUUUUGUAUGUGUUAAUUACAUUUACUGUAUGUACGCGUGUAGGAGGGUAUGUUUGUUUUAUAUAAUUGAUUAAAAAUCAUUUAAAAUAUUUGUAUUUGCCGUUUUAUGAAAACUCGAAUCGUAUGAAAGUAAUGUAUUAAUCUAUACUUUAUACUAUUUGGAUUAAGUUUAGAAUAUUUUUGUGUAUAAAUUAUACGUUCAAACGUAUUUACUGAAAAGUGUAUGUCAGUAAACCAGCGCCCGAAGCAGAAUUUUUGUAAAUGUGGUUAUUUUAAUCGAUAAAAUGAGUCUAAUGAGUUGCUAUGAUAUUAUUGGUUUUCUUAAAAUUGCGGUAGUAUUUUUAAUACCGUAUUACCUACAUACUGUUGAGAAAUAACGAUUUUUAAAAUACAUUGUCUUUGCUUCUUCUGCUCUACCGUCUUUCUGUAGGUGGAGUACCUAAUAUGUGUACAAACGCAAUAGUUAGAAGCGACAAAAUACCUUGUAAUAGACGGUCUUACCCGAUAGACUCCACAUUGACCUUUUUGUAGCGCUUGUGUGUAAACAUUGCUGUAAUAAUAUGUUAGGUAUUUUCUACUACACAACUUGCUUGGCAAAGUUAAGAUAUUUUAUUAAGGUUGUGAUAUGUUUGCUCUAGCUCAUACUCAAUAGUAUUAGGUAAAUACGGAUAACUGCGGCUGGCCUUCACAUUGGGACCUAUUUACACAUUGAUUAGUGUUUAUUAUGACUUUAUACAUUUGCCACUAAACGCAAGUAUUAACAAGCUAGUAAUUAGCGAAUGUACAAACUCGCGAUAAACACUAAUCAAUGUUUUCACAGGCCUAAUGUGAAGGCUAGCCACACUUAUCCGUAUGUCAUACUUAUCCGUAUUGACCUUAACUUGCUCUGUAUGUUGGUUAACGCUUAUUGUAACAUAAAACAAAACAAACGUUUUGACCAUCGGUAUAAUAAUGACUGAACAAUCAAGACAACAAAUACAUAAGAAGUUAGUUUUAAAACGUAUAAAAUGAUACUUUAUAAUCUUAUGAUUUGAAAGCAAUAAAUUAAGUGACACUGACGUCACAGUUGAGUAAAUACGUAUCAUUUGUUCGGGUACGCGUUGCCAUUUUAUACCAGCAGAUAUUUUAGUCGUUAUAUGUAGGUAAGUGGUUUAUAUAAGUAGUUAUAAAUUAUUGCAUUUUGCAUUCCUUGCCAUGAUUUUUUCUACAAUUUUUUAUUGUCGCUUGUCAGAACGGGAAAUGAAAUGACUAUUGUUUUUAAUGAGAAUUAAAUGAGAAAUAUAAUUAUCAUACUAAUUUUAUUUCAUAUACCUAUUUUGUAUCAAAAAUAUACCCGAUCGUGACGAAGCUAUAUAUCUAUGUAAUCACCAUUUGUAGCCAAAAAAUAUACAUUUUAGGAAAUAUUGAGAAAUUAAAUACUACAUCGAACGGAAUUAAAAUGGCUAACAUAGAACAAAGAACUUGUCGAAAAUAGAGUAUCAGUACCUAAGUUAAAUAUAAUUAAACAUCAUGUCUUCGAGGCAAAGAUAUUAUUAUUUAUAAUAAACCGAAUUAUUUCAUUAGGUAAGCAUGUUUUAUGUAAAAUUUGUGGUAGGCUUAUUAUCUAAUUUCAAACAUAUGUUAGUGUACUGUCACCAUCAGAUGUAUCGGAGCGGCCAAGUUGCUCAACUCACUCUUAACGUCUUGAUAUAGAGCCUUUGUUCAGAUAUUUGUGAACACCUUAUCGGCUCGGAUAUAUCUGAUGGCGACUUUAGUAAAUGCAAUUAUUUUAUAUCAUUUUUGGGAGAAAAAGGAAAGAAUUAAGAGUUGGUACUUAUUUAAUAUCUUUAUUUAUCACCUUUUGUUAUUGACUUAUCUCAGUUAUAGCUUUAUAUUAGAUUAAUAAAAUUAAUGUAAUUAAUGGUAAACAACAUUUGACUCUAUGUAUUUAAACAAUAUAUAUCUGCCAUUUUCAUACAAAUAGAGUAACUAAAUGCACAAAAUCUAUGUAUUUACAAAUAGCUUUUAAUACUUAUUAUUGAUAUAGCGAAAAGUUUCGUAAUUUUGGAGCGGUGACAUAGGAUAAUCCAAGCCAGUAAUAGUAUAUGAUUAUUAUGUAUGUAUAUUGUUCCGGGUUUAAAUAUAUAGAGUUAAAACAUUAAAAUAUAUCACGAUAUUUGUAAUGAUCGUUGUUGCGAGUUGCGCCUACCCUUGGUACAGUUUGUAAUAUUAAUAUGUACAUACCUAUACGUUUUACCUUAUUCCAAUGUUGUGAGGUAAAAAAUGUAUGUAUACAUGUCAGUGGGUGCGGUGCGCCUACUCGUAGUUCCAAAUACUGGCUUUAAAGACACUGACUAAAUAUAAAUAUGUGUAUGUACGUAGGGAUUUACGUACGUACAUUUCUAAAAUUCUUUCCCUUUUGGUCAUGGGCACCUGAAGUAAUUGUUCUGACACAACGCACAAAAAAUGUAACAAAUCGUAAUACUUUAGAGAAACCCCACACUAGCGUCUUUUGAGCGUCGGCGUCUAGUCAGCGCUAUGGAAAAUGACGUCGCUGCGCAGUUGCGCUAACGUUGCGUCAAGAAGCAGCCAUAUAGUUGACUAGACGGCGACGCUCGGAAGACGCUAGUGUGGGAUGGCCCUUCGAGUAGGACCAAGAUAACUCUGCACUACAUUUGCAAUAACUAUGACUAAGUAUGGAAAUGUCAUCAUUCUGUUCCGUUCAAGUCGAUGCAAAGUUAACAUGGACUCUACCUACAUAACUUAUAAUUUGUAAAAUUUUAAGAGCCAGUUGUUCGGGGCUAAAAUAUUGUCAUUUUGUAACAAUUUAUCUUAUCUUAGAUAGAUAUUAUAAUAAAUAAACUCCUACCAAAGA